AUUGAACGCUGGCGGCAGGCCUAACACAUGCAAGUCGAGCGCGCGGCGGACGGGUGAGUAAUAUAUGGGGGAACUGCGAGAGAGGGGGGGAACUACUGGAAACGGGAGCUAAAACAGCAUACUAUCGGAUAACCCAUAUGGGAUUAGCUCGUAGGUGGGGUAAUGGCUCACCUAGGCGACGAUCCCUAGCUGGUCUGAGAGGAUGAUCAGCCAGACUGGGACUGAGACACGGCCCAGAAUCCUACGGAGGCAGCAGUGGGGAAUAUUGCACAAUGGGCGCAAGCCUGAUGCAGCCAUGCCGCGUGUAUGAAGAAGGCCCUCGGGUUGUAAAGUACUUUCAGUCGGGAGGCGUUACCGACAGAAGAAGCACCGGCUAACUCCGUGCCAGCAGCCGCGGUAAUUC
rnacentral:rRNA from 1 species